AAUCAUUUGCCCUAUAAUUGAGGGCUAGUAUGAAUGGUUUGACAUGAGCAUAGCUGUCUCCUUAAAAUUUUAUAAAAUUUGGUUUUUAGGUGAAGAAACCUAAAUUAAAUUGAAAGACAAGAAGACCCUAUCGAGCUUUAGAAUAAUUAAUUAAAAAAUAUAAAUAAAACAAUUAAUUUUAAUUAAAAACUUUGGUUGGGGCGACUGAGGAACAUAUAAAGCUUCCUUAAUUAAACAAUGCUGAUAAGCAAUGAUCCGGAAAAUCUGAUUAAAAAAAUUAGUUACCGUAGGGAUAACAGCAUAAUCUUUUUUGAGAGCUCUUAUCGAAAAAAAGGUUUGU
rnacentral:rRNA from 1 species